rnacentral:rRNA from 2 species
UGGGGAAUAUUGCACAAUGGGCGAAACCCUGAUGCAGCAACGCCGCGUGAAGGAAGAAGGUCUUCGGAUUGUAAACUUCUGUUUUUAGUGACGAAACAAAUGACGGUAGCUAAAGAGGAAGCCACGGCUAACUACGUGCCAGCAGCCGCGGUAAUACGUAGGUGGCAAGCGUUGUCCGGAUUUACUGGGUGUAAAGGGUGCGCAGGCGGGACUGCAAGUUGGAUGUGAAAUCCCGAGGCUUAACCUCGGAACUGCAUCCAAAACUGUAGUUCUUGAGUGGAGUAGAGGUAAGCGGAAUUCCGAGUGUAGCGGUGAAAUGCGUAGAUAUUCGGAGGAACACCAGUGGCGAAGGCGGCUUACUGGGCUCUAACUGACGCUGAGGCACGAAAGUGUGGGUAGCAAACAGG